UACAGAGGUCUCAAGCGUUGUUCGGAUUCAUUGGGCGUAAAGGGCGCGUAGGCGGCUUUAUAAGUCGGGGGUGAAAGCCUGUGGCUCAACCACAGAAUUGCCUUCGAUACUGUAGAGCUUGAGACCGGAAGAGGUAAGUGGAACUGCGAGUGUAGAGGUGAAAUUCGUAGAUAUUCGCAAGAACACCAGUGGCGAAGGCGACCGCCUGGACGAUGACUGACGCUGAGGCGCGAGAGCGUGGGGAGCAAACAGG
rnacentral:rRNA from 1 species